GACAUUAUCUACAUGUAGGACAUGGUCUCAUGGUAGGACAUUAUAUCAUGUUAGGACAUUAUCAUGGUGGGACACAGUCUACAUUGCAGGACUGACUACAUGUUAGGACAUUGACUGCAUGCUUGGACAUUGUCUACCAUGUCCUCCCGACCCCUGCCCUACCCUACCUGGUGGAGGUAGGAAGUACAGCAUGGACAAUCUUCCCCCUUACGGCACUUAACAUCCACAUGCAGUUACUUCCCGAUAAGUCCACAGACAGUGAUCAGCAAUGAAUGAGAGCUUUCCCAUCAUGGUUUGGCGCGGGCUGAUGGGGGCACGUCUGCCUAGAAAACAGACCAAAUAUCAACCCUGGGGCAUUUCUCUCUCUUCAACGGAGCAGUUUCAUACCAGGCUGAGCUUUAACUGUGGGUACACAAAAUGCUGG